rnacentral:rRNA from 1 species
GACUAAGCCAUGCAUGUCUCAGUACUUGCCGGAAAAAAGGCGAAACCGCGAAUGGCUCAUUAAAUCAGUUUUAGUCCCUUGGACUGUACGCCGCUACUUGGAUAACCGUGGCAAUUCCAGAGCUAAUACAUGCAACCGAGCUCCGACCCCUUCGGGGAGACGGGCGCUUUUAUUAGACCAAGACCAACCGGCUGGUGGUGACUCUGCAUAACUUGGAGCGGAUCGCCCGGGCUCGUCCCGGCGACGCUUCCUUCGAGGAUCUGCCUUAUCAACUGGCGAUGGUCGACCACGUGCCUACCAUGGUCGUCACGGGUGACGGGGAAUCAGGGUUCGAUUCCGGAGAGGGAGCCUGAGAAACGGCUACCACAUCCAAGGAAGGCAGCAGGCGCGCAAAUUACCCACUCCCGGCACGGGGAGGUAGUGACGAAAAAUAACGAUGCGGGACUCGUACGAGACCCCGUACUCGGAAUGAGCACACUUUAAAUCCUUUAACGAGGACCCAUUGGAGGGCCAGUCUGGUGCCAGCAGCCGCGGUAACACCAGUUCCAAUAGCGUAUAUUAAAGUUGUUGCGGUUAAAAAGCUCGUAGUCCGAUUCGGGUUUCGGCCGGGCGGCCCCGCCUCCGGGCGGCCACCGACCGGUUCGAACCUCCGGUCGGUUUCCCUGGAUGAUCUUCGCCGGUUGUCCGAGGCGACCGGCCCGUUCACUUUGAAAAAAUUAGAGUGCUCAGAGCAGGCGCCGUCCGCCUGGAUAGCGACGCAUGGAAUGACGGAAUAGGACCUCGGUUCUAUUUUGUUGGUUUUCGGAGCUCGAGGUAAUGAUGGACGGGGACGGACGGGGGCAUUCGUACUGCGACGCUAGAGGUGAAAUUCUUGGACCGUCGCAAGACGAACUACUGCGAAGGCAUUUGCCAAGAACGUCCCCUUCGAUCAAGAACGAAAGUUAGAGGUUCGAAGGCGAUCAGAUACCGCCCUAGUUCUAACCGUAAACCAUGCCAACCAGCGAUCCGCCUGGGUUCCUGAAAUGACCCGGCGGGCAGCUCCCGGGAAACCAAAGUGUUUGGGUUCCGGGGGAAGUAUGGUUGCAAAGCUCAAACUUAAAGGAAUUGACGGAUGGGCACCACCAGUAGUGGAGCAUGCGGCUCAAUUUGACUCAACACGGGUUAGCCCACCUAGCCAAGACUCCGGAAGGAUUGACAGAUUAAGAGCUCUUUCUUGAUUCGGCGGGGAGUGGUGCAUGGCCGUUCUUAGUUCGUGGUCUGAAUUGUCUGGUUAAUUCCGUUAACGAACGAGAUUCUAGCCUACUAACUAGGCGUUACCGAUCCACAGGUCGGGCGCCCCGUCUUCUUAGAGGGACCAGCGGCGUCUAGCCGCGCGAAACGGAGCAAUAACAGGUCUGUGAUGCCCUUAGAUGUCUAGGGCCGCACGCGCGCUACACUGGAGGAAUCGGCGUGCGUUUUCCCUGUCCGUAAGGACUGGGUAACCCGUUGAAACUCCUCCGUGCUUGGGACAGGGGCUUGGAAUUUUUGCCCUCGAACGAGGAAUUUCUAGUAAGCACGGGUCACCAACUCGUGCUGAUUGCGUCCCUGCCCAUUGUGCACACCGCCCGUCGCUACUACCGAUUGAACGAUUUAGUGAGGUCCUCGGACUGGCGCUUGAAGGGGGCCUCUAACGGCCUCGACGGGCUUGCCGGAAAGACGACCAAAUUCGAUCGUUAGAGGAAGUAAAAGUCG